UUUCAACACAUCCUGCAUACAUUAUGUAAACAAUAAAUAUUUCUGCAAAUUGCCUAGUGCACAUGACAUACAGACAUUAUUUAGCAAUUUUUAUGAGAACCAAGGGAUAGGUACCUGAUUGACGAAAUAUAUAAGACAGUUAUGAGAAGAAAAAGAAACAAUGGCCAGGAAUAUCACAACAGCAGUAGUUUUGAUUUUAAUGCUUUUUGUUGUUAGAGUUGAUGGAAUUCCUUGUAAAGACGGUCAAGUACAGCGAAUAAAUAAUACUGGCAAUAAAAUCUGUUGUUAUACAACUGUUUGUGCAGAAA